AAUGAGGUCUAAGAGUUCUUGGUAAGACUACAUCAUUCAAUACCAUCCAUUUUUACUUAGUGUGAUCAACUGAUGCGUGAAGAAAUUAUCUACUUAAGUGAAAUUUUUAACUGAAACACAACUGGAGGCAUGGUUUUCCCACCCUUUUGAAUGUCAAAAAUGGAGCUCAUUCAGUGCAGAGGACGGAUCUGUUCUCACCGUGGAACACGGCUAUAUGCUGAAAGGCUUUCGUCUGUGGGCUCCUGUUGUAGAAGCUGUGUGUGUGUGCUGACUGAAAAACUGCAAGAUGUUGUGACAGGGUGCUUGGAGCCCCUGUCAUGGGAAGAGCCCAGGCUGCCCAAAAAGCAGCCUGCAGGUGUGACAGGGCUAAUUAGGGAGUCAGCCGAUCAGAAGGGAGCUGGGUUUGAGGCACAUAAGCCUAGGGCCUGAACUGGUCAAGGAGUCUACCCUAGAGUGCCAUUGUGUGAGAGGAGCUCCUGGCAGCAGGGCUCCUGAUAACCGCUGAGCUGGGUGGGGUAAGCAGCACUGAACUCAGGAACAGACCAGGACUGGGGACAGGAGCAGGUGAGCCCAUUGCCUAGAGGGCCAGGCCUUGGAACAGACAGGCUUGGGGCCCCGAGAGAGAGGGAGAGAGCUAGAGCUCAGAAAGAACUAGGUAACUGGGGACAAAAUCCAGUUCCUGUCCAGGGGGACCAGGCAGGUCCGGUGCCCAGAGAGGACUAGAGCAAGAACAUCUGGGGCUUGGGGGGACUAGCAAGAUCCGGUACCCAGGGGAGGGACUAGGGUACAUUGAGGGAAGCUCCAGUGUCAAGGGCCUACCAAAGGGCACAGAGUUGUAUUAGCAGAUCACGUGUGAGGCUUGGGAGUGGGUACUGGGGGGGAUGGAGCCCACGAUACUAGUCCUUAAGGCAAUGACCACAAGCACCUAUGGUCCUAAGAAUAAGACCAGGCUUGGGAAACCCUAGGACAGAUUCUCUUCUAUCUGAAAUGUAUAACAUCAGAGCAUGACAGGUGAGUAAAAGGGAGAGGGCCCCAAGGGGAGCCAGAUUGGCAAGGGUGGAGCAGGUACCAGGGGGCAUUGUGAUUAUCUCUGGGAUGGGCAUUUGCUACAGAUGUACAGAUGCCAACCCAAACGUAAAGCCCUAACCUCCUCAUACUGAGAAGAGGGAAGGGAAGGGUGGCCACAAAAUCAAAACAAAAAUAGCUAUCAUGGGGAAUUUAAACUUCCUUUUUGCUGAUCUUCUACACAGAGGAUGACUGAAGGCAUGGCAAUGCUGCCUCUGUUCUUGAACCCAAGACUGCCUCCACUCAAUCCUGCUGAGCAACCAUUAAGUUUCAUAAAUAAGGUAGUGAAGUCACCUUAAAGCAGUGGUCUCCAACCUUUUCUAAGUAAGAGAUCACCUUUGGCAUUUAAAAGCAAUCCAAGAUCUACUGUGCACCGCCACUGCUACCCUGCCCCCUACCUCACCCAGCAGGUAAGUCUGUGAGGAGGGAAGGGGGGGCAGAUCAAGACAGAGGGAGAAAAAAUUAUUUGGGGGCACACCAUCCCAGCAGGUAAGUCCCACCUGGCCAGGGCCCCACCCAACUUAUCCCUGCUCCUGCCUUUGCAGCACUGUCCCUCACCAUAGGGGCCUUGAUCAAGUUCCCAUCCCUUCCCUCUCCCAUCCGAGAUCUACUGGUUGGUGACCACUGCCUUAAAGCAACCUUGAGCCCAUUCUAAUAAACAUAUUCCAGAGAGAAAGCCCAGGAUCAGUCUUGGACACAUGGUCAGUUCCUCUCUAGGGCAGCUUUCUUGCUUUGUUUCUUGGAUUUGUCUAAUACAGAUCAGAAAGAAGUGUGCAGGGUAUGCUUCACUACAGCAGUCCCAUGCUUACCACAGCAGCAGAGUAGACAAGCCCAGAGAAAGUGUUAGUGAACAGAAGAGUUAGAAUUGCCCUACAGUGUUAUCUGAAGAUGUCCCCAGGCCUUUUAGUGGUGAAUCUUUGGCUGCCAUGCACCUGGCAUAACCAACUUAGUCUCCUAACCCAAGAUACAUGGCAGAGGGAGCCAAGGCUAAAUGUGCUGUGCUCAGGUAAUCUCUGCCAAUAAACAGACCCUUUAGGGGAAUUACAAACUGUUAUAGUUUGAAGGAUCUAUGAACUUGCUUCAGCUUGAACCAGGGGUGUGAACAGUUUUUCCUAAAUUCAAGGUGGAAGGGGAAGUGCUGGAGUGGGUAUUGAAGUGGUAAACCUUCUGCAGUGCACCUGAGAAUUGAGCCCCUAAUGUUUUAAGAGAAUGUGAUAGUAGGGCUAUAUUUUUUCAGAGGAUAUGGGGAUAGCCUUCCUUUAUUGGUUCCAGGCCCUGUUUAAAAGAGUGCCUCAUGAGCUGAGCUUGGUUUUCAUCUAACCAUAAUAUACCAUAGACCUUUAAACUCUGGGGGAAGGGGCGUGAAAGAUAAGGCUGAAAUUUUUUGACAAGAAAAUUACUUACCGGUAUUAAAAUGAGGGGAAACUGAGUAGCUACAGAAAAGCUUAACAAAGCUAGGUAACUGAGCACCACAGAAGAUUAAAUUCACUGCAGGUAAGUACAUGGAAAGGCACUGUUGGAAGGAGCAAUUUACAUUACUCAUCCACACUGAUGAGUUCUGAAUUAGCUGUAACUGCUCAGGAAGAGUCUCAGCAUCAUCUUGGACAUUUUAAUAAGAAUGCUUGCUCAAUGUGCAGUACAGCCAAAAGAGCAAAUACAAUAUUAGGCUGUAUUAAGGAGUGGAAAAAAUAAUAAGCAAGAUAUUACAAAGUGAUUGCUCCAUAAGAUUGAUUGAAUGGCUCCACCUUCACCCUGGAGUUCAGCUUCUGGAAAAUGUGUUCCAGAAAAUACUUAGCAAAAGGUAGAGAGAAAUGCAAUAAAAAGGGUAGUAAGUAGGCAAGGAGGCAUCUAUUGGAGAAUUUUUUUGAAAACAAAGGAACAAAAUAUACAAAGGUAUACAUGCCGUUAUAGCUCCACACACCUCAGGAAAGAGGCACUUUUGAGAUCACAUUUUGCCUUUCAGUCUCUCUGAAUUUUCCACUGUGGAGGUAGAAAGAGAUGCCUGCUUCUGGGCGAUAGGAACUCUGAUGGUGAAAAAUUUUCUGGGGAGCUGAUGACUAGAUGGUCUGACUGCUUGGGUCUGGUUCUUUUUAGGCAACCUCAUCUAUCUUGUUGCAAUGUAUAAAUUACUUAUUAUUCCCCACACUGUGCAUCCUUGCAACUCAAGGGCAGAGGUUUUGUUGUAGUAAAUUCUUAGGCCUGUGCAAAGUGGCUAGUACUUGCUUGGGAUUUGGAUUCAACUGAUUCAGGGGACAGUGUUUCAAUUUGGUGAUUUGAAUCACUGUCCCGAAUUGAUUUGGGCAAAUCUGAUUUGGAGAUCGGCCACUGCCAAAUCAGCCGAAUCUUCAAAUCGAACAGACCCCAUCCACUGCCUGACCCCAGGGUCCUGGCACUUUAAAAAGAUCCUCCCUCCCCCCCC